UACGAAGGGGGCUAGCGUUACUCGGAUUGACUGGGCGUAAAGGGCGCGUAGGCUGGCUUGUACAGUCAGACGUGAAAUUCCUGGGCUCAACCUGGGGGCUGCGUUUGAUACGUGCGGGCUUGAGUUCGGGAAGAGGGUCGUGGAAUUCCCAGUGUAGAGGUGAAAUUCGUAGAUAUUGGGAAGAACACCGGUGGCGAAGGCGGCGACCUGGUCCGAUACUGACGGCUGAGGCGCGAAACGUG
rnacentral:rRNA from 1 species